UACGAAGGGGGCUAGCGUUGUCCGGAAUUAUUGGGCGUAAAGCGCGCGCAGGCGGUCCUUUAAGUCUGAUGUGAAAGCCCACGGCUCAACCGUGGAGGGUCAUUGGAAACUGGGGGACUUGAGUACAGAAGAGAAGAGUGGAAUUCCACGUGUAGCGGUGAGAUGCGUAGAGAUGUGGAGGAACACCAGUGGCGAAGGCGACUCUUUGGUCUGUAACUGACGCUGAGGCGCGAAAGCGUGGGGAGCAAACAGG
rnacentral:rRNA from 1 species